GACGAACGCUGGCGGCGUGCUUAACACAUGCAAGUCGAACGGAAAGGCUCUGCUUCCGUGUGGUGCUCGAGAGGGGAACGGGUGAGUAACACGAAAGUAAGCUGCCCUUGAGUUCGGGAUACCUAAAGGAAAGGGGGGCUAAUACGGGACAGGUGCUCAUGCUGCAUGACGGUGGUUGGAAAGUUUCGGCGGUGUGGGAGGGAGCGGCGGUUCAUCACUUUGUUGGGCGGGCGGGGGCUUACCAAGGUGUUGGCGGGAAGCCGGCCUAAGGAGGUGACCGGCGACAUUGGGACUGCGAUAGGGCCCAGAAUCCUACGGGAGGCAGCAGGCGAAAAUAUUGCGCAAUGGGCGGAAGUCUGAUGCGACAACCCCGCGUGCGGGAUGACGGGCUUCGGGUUGUGAACCGCUUUCGCCUGAAACGUAGAGUGAGUGACGGUAAUGAGUCAGGAAGCCCCGGCUAACUACGUG
rnacentral:rRNA from 1 species